rnacentral:rRNA from 1 species
CUAACACAUGCAAGUCGAGCGGAAACGACACUAACAAUCCUUCGGGUGCGUUAAUGGGCGUCGAGCGGCGGACGGGUGAGUAAUGCCUAGGAAAUUGCCUUGAUGUGGGGGAUAACCAUUGGAAACGAUGGCUAAUACCGCAUAAUGCCUACGGGCCAAAGAGGGGGACCUUCGGGCCUCUCGCGUCAAGAUAUGCCUAGGUGGGAUUAGCUAGUUGGUGAGGUAAUGGCUCACCAAGGCGACGAUCCCUAGCUGGUCUGAGAGGAUGAUCAGCCACACUGGAACUGAGACACGGUCCAGACUCCUACGGGAGGCAGCAGUGGGGAAUAUUGCACAAUGGGCGAAAGCCUGAUGCAGCCAUGCCGCGUGUAUGAAGAAGGCCUUCGGGUUGUAAAGUACUUUCAGUUGUGAGGAAGGGGGUAGCGUUAAUAGCGCUAUCUCUUGACGUUAGCAACAGAAGAAGCACCGGCUAACUCCGUGCCAGCAGCCGCGGUAAUACGGAGGGUGCGAGCGUUAAUCGGAAUUACUGGGCGUAAAGCGCAUGCAGGUGGUUCAUUAAGUCAGAUGUGAAAGCCCGGGGCUCAACCUCGGAACUGCAUUUGAAACUGGUGAACUAGAGUACUGUAGAGGGGGGUAGAAUUUCAGGUGUAGCGGUGAAAUGCGUUACAUAUCUGAAGGAAUACCAGUGGCCAAAGGCGGCCCCCUGGACACAUAC